UUUAUUGGAGAGUUUGAUCCUGGCUCAGGAUGAACGCUGGCGGCGUGCCUAAUACAUGCAAGUCGAGCGAAUGGAUUGAGAGCUUGCUCUCAAGAAGUUAGCGGCGGACGGGUGAGUAACACGUGGGUAACCUGCCCAUAAGACUGGGAUAACUCCGGGAAACCGGGGCUAAUACCGGAUAACAUUUUGAACUGCAUGGUUCGAAAUUGAAAGGCGGCUUCGGCUGUCACUGAUGGAUGGACCCGCGUCGCAUUAGCUAGUUGGUGAGGUAACGGCUCACCAAGGCAACGAUGCGUAGCCGACC
rnacentral:rRNA from 1 species